GGUUUCACCAAACCUUUCCCUUGGGGAGCCCGCGCCCUAUGCACAUGGCCCCACUCUUCCGCUUAAAGAGAGCCGAGGGUCUCCGCGCCAGGGCGAUUAGCGGGACCCUCACAGCUUUGUAGUUGGAAGACCACCCUAAUCUGUUCAGAACUUGCAUGAAAAUGGAAGAAACACCUGAUAUUACGCCUCUCCACGCUUCAGUUUCUUCAGCAGUACUCCAGAGACGAUGAGAGUGAGCUGUAUACUUCUGUUUGCUUCCGAUUUUUCAAAUACCCAAGAGCUGUUUAUCGGAAAAUGAAAUGUGAAAAAGUAAAGCACCCUAGAAAUGAUUUGUAAGUGGAAAAAACUGAAAUCUCUGCAGCCAGUGUAAGCCUGCCAACCUUUGCCUCCAUUGAGUGCCCAGGAGAAUCAAAUGGAUCUGAUCCAGGCUUACAGUCAUAUCUUGAUUCAUCAUCUCCUCUCAAGAAAUAGUUUCCUACUACUAUUUAAGCAAAUCUUUGCAGAUUCGUGCUGGGUUAUCUCGUGUGCCAAGAGGAUUCUUGAUGCUGUGCAGUAAAUUGCUAAGGCUCGGCGGCCAUGGCUCACGGGCCCAGCCGCUCCGCGGCAUGUGGGAUCUUCCCGGACCGGGGCACGAACCCGCGUCCCCUGCAUCGGCAGGCGGACUCUCAACCACUGCGCCACCAGGGAAGCCCUUACAUAACUUUUUACCACUAUUAUUACGGAGAAAAUCUAUUAUAAGAUCUUAUAUUGAUAAGAUGACAAGAAUAAAUAUUUUAUCUCACAUAGAUAAUUAAAAGGUUAAGAUAUUAAUUUUCGCCAAAUAAAUCUAAGGCAAACCCAGUGAUAAUUCAAGUUUAUGUUCUGUUUUUAAAGAAACUCAAAGCUAAUCUCAAAUGUAUGUGGUAGAAGUGUAAAGAAGGGGCCUUGCCCUACUAAUAUGGGGACAUAAG